rnacentral:misc_RNA from 1 species
CCCCGAUUGCCCACAAAAUGGCGUCUAACGCCACGUUCAAACGACGUUCGGUGCCACACUGACUAUACGAGUCCUGCGGCCCGAUGUCCGUGAGGAAUGC